GAUGAACGCUAGCGGCAGGCCUAACACAUGCAAGUCGAGGGAGAAGCCCUUCGGGGCAGAAACCGGCGCACGGGUGCGUAACGCGUAUGCAACCUACCUUUCACAGGGGGAUAGCCCGAAGAAAUUUGGAUUAAUACCCCAUAAUAUUAUUGGAUGGCAUCAUUUGAUAAUUAAAAUUACGAUGGUGAAAGAUGGGCAUGCGUCCUAUUAGCUAGUUGGAGUGGUAACGGCACCCCAAGGCUACGAUAGGUAGGGGUCCUGAGAGGGAGAUCCCCCACACUGGUACUGAGACAGGGACCAGACUCCUACGGGAGGCAGCAGUGAGGAAUAUUGGUCAAUGGUCGGAAGACUGAACCAGCCAUGCCGCGUGCAGGAAGAAUGCCUUAUGGGUUGUAAACUGCUUUUAUAUGGGAAGAAUAAGGAGUACGUGUACUUUGAUGACG
rnacentral:rRNA from 1 species